UACGUAGGGACCGAGCGUUGUCCGGAAUCAUUGGGCGUAAAGAGCGUGUAGGCGGCCACUUAAGUCCUGCGUGAAAUCUUGCGGCUCAACCGCAAGCGGUCGUGGGAAACUGGGUGGCUAGAAUGCGGGAGAGGAGAGUGGAAUUCCUGGUGUAGCGGUGGAAUGCGUAGAUAUCAGGAGGAACACCGGCGGUGUAGACGGCUUUCUGGACCGUAGCUGACGCUGAGACACGAAAGCGUGGGUAGCAAACAGG
rnacentral:rRNA from 1 species